UACGUAGGGUGCAAGCGUUGUCCGGAAUUAUUGGGCGUAAAGAGCUCGUAGGCGGUUUGUCGCGUCUGCUGUGAAAACCCGAGGCUCAACCUCGGCCUGCAGUGGGCACGGGCAGACUAGAGUGCGGUAGGGGAGAUUGGAAUUCCUGGUGUAGCGGUGGAAUGCGCAGAGUAUCAGGAGGAACACCAAUGGCGAAGGCAGAUCUCUGGGCCGUAACUGACGCUGAGGAGCGAAAGCAUGGGAGCGAACAGG
rnacentral:rRNA from 1 species